rnacentral:rRNA from 1 species
GACGUAGGGUACGAGCGUUGUCCGGAUUUAUUGGGCGUAAAGCGCGCGUAGGCGGUUUUGUAAGUCGGAUGUGAAAACCAGAGGCUCAACCUCUGGCCUGCAUCCGAUACUGCCCGACUAGAGGUAGGUAGGGGAGAUCGGAAUUCCUGGUGUAGCGGUGAAAUGCGCAGAUAUCAGGAGGAACACCGGUGGCGAAGGCGGAUCUCUGGGCCUUAACUGACGCUGAGGCGCGAAAGCUAGGGGAGCAAACAGG